rnacentral:rRNA from 1 species
CAGCAGCCACGGUAAAACGUACGCAGCGAGCGUUGUUCGGAAUUACUGGGCGUAAAGAGUGUGUAGGCGGUGCUCUAAGUUCGGUGUGAAAUCUCCUGGCUUAACUGGGAGGGUGCGCCGGAAACUGGAGUGCUCGAACGUGGGAGAGGAAAGCGGAAUUCCUGGUGUAGCGGUGAAAUGCGUAGAUAUCAGGAGGAACACCUGCGGUGUAGACGGCUUUCUGGACCAUUGUUGACGCUGAGACACGAAAGCGUGGGUAGCAAACAGGAUUAGAUACCCCCGUAGUCCCUGUCUCUUAUAC